rnacentral:lncRNA from 1 species
AAAGAUAUCAUAGCCACAACUUAAGUUUUUUCCAAAUCAUCAAAAUCCAGCUAAAUUCUUAUAUUGUUGGGAACUUGAAAUGAAGAUAAGCAGAGCAAUUACUGACAGCGGCAUAUUUCUCAACAAGAGGACGGAAGGCUGGGUCUGAGAGAAGAGCUUUAUCACUUGGCAGCUGUAGAAGACCUUCCUUUUCUCCGCUAAGGAGUUCCCUGUUGACAAGUCAAAUAAUAACAAAAUAAGCAAACAUUCUUAAGAUGCAUAGAAGAGUCUUAUAACCAGGCAAAAGCUAGAACUAUUAAAGAAUGUAUAGGGAGAAGAACACAAAACUCACUUGAAGUAGCUGUUAUCAAAGAUCAGAGGGUUGGAGGUCCAGGGUCCUUCAAAUCCAGAGCGCUCCUUGUGGCACCUUCCCUGCAAACAUAAAACCAACCAGCAUCUUUCAAUUUCAGAUCACAAUUAUGGUAAGAUGUUAAAACUGACUGAAUACAAUUCUUGCCAGCACUCAUUAAGUGUGAAUAACUGUAAAACUGAACACAGACCAGGGUGUGGGCCCCAGAGAGAGCUACGAUGUCCUUGUCGCUGAGACCCAUUUGAGUAACAAACACCUGUCUCAAGUGAUCGCAUCCUGCACAUCAGUUGAUUCACCCACAUAAACUUCUUAACUCAAUACAUCUUCUCCCAGUAAGUUUUGAUUUUUUUCUUUUCAACAUACAACAUGAUGCAAAUAAGGUUUUAAACAUACUAACCUUUGGUGGCAUCUGGCAGACGACCCUCAGGUGGUGGCUCCGGCUUGUCCUGAGAUAAGAGGAGGACCAUUGUCAGCAUAAAAUAACAAGAUAAAUACAUUAUGAUAAAUGAAGAGAAUACAAAAUUGUAACAUCUAUCAAGAAUCAGAAUAUAAAUAGAGAAUAGAUGUAGGACAAUAUUUUAACUAAACUUGGAGGUCCACCAUCAUGUAGAUCUGUUCUAAUCUGCCACAAAGGAAUAGUGGCAUCAUGAGAAGAAAAGGAUAAAAUUGAAAAAAACAAGCAAAUCAUGUAUACCGUUUAAACAAAGAAAAGAAAAGGCCCCAGAAGAAAAAGGGGAAAAGACACAUGAUUUUUUUUUCUCCAAUGGCACUUUUACAAUGAACCAAACAAAAUCAGUAAAAAAAGAACAGAAAAUUUUUAGGGAAAAAUUUUAUACAAAUAAAUAAAAAUGGACACUGGCUUUGGAACACAUUUUAAACUCCUUUUGAUCAAUUGCUGUGGUUUUUGCCAUUCUCCAUGCAAAAACCCCAAUCCACUAGAAUAGAAAUAUAAUUACAUUCGUUUCAUUUUUUUUUUUUUGUCAGACAAAUGCUGUCUGAAAACGACUUUAGAAGUACUGUUCUUUUUUGUAGAGAAAUUAAUUAAGAUUUUUCCCCUUUCAAAGGACAAUGACUUUACAUAAAGCAGAAAAGGAAAUACCCAAAUACCCAAAAUCUUGAUAAUUUGGCAUCAAAAACCACAUUUCCCCCAUAAAAGGAAAGACAGACCAAUAAAACAAAAUAAAGACAUGUCAGAUACAUGCAUUGAAGUUUACAUGGCAUCUACACCUCUUAAAGUAAUAGAUCAAACAAAACAUGCUUAUAGAAACAUUGUGAUUCGGGCCACAGUCCCAAAACUGAGUGAAUAGGCCAUGCUGUAUUUAAAAAUAUAGGUUCUACCAAGUAUUCAGACCAAUCCAUUGGUUAUCUGCCAGAGGCAUAUGGACAAAUUAGUGCAUCAUAUAAGCUUUAAAGCAGGCGAAGUUAGAAUCCAGACAAAUUAGACAACCAUAUUGCAAGCUCUAGGUUACCAAGCUUUAAUAUCAACUAAUAAGUUUGCAAUGUAGCAUUAAGAAACAAUGCAAACACCGCUACCACCAAAGCAUUAUGUGGUGACUAUGAUAUCUGCUCCACAUCAAAUUUUCACUACAACCUAUUAAAAUACAUGAACCUAGUAAGCAAAAGGUAGGAUGCCCAGCUCCAACCCACCAAAUUUCAGUUUUUGAUUCAACCCAUACAAAACUUAUCUAGAUCAAAACAAUCACAAAAUUGAACUGUUAUACAGAACUACUUCCUUGUCCUAAUUUUAAAUAUGGAAUAUAACAGAGAUAGUCUGGUAAGGAAAACAUAAAUAAAAAGGAGGACAAGACAAUCCUAAGCAACAUAUUACAGCAACAGAUCAACUAAAUAGUUAGAACUUAAAAGUUUUUUCUUUAAAAAGAAUAUGCAAUUUUAACUGAAAUGAAAGAAUGGUGAUAAUUCACCUACCUCUCUCCCUGGGUGGAAAGGAAUUUCAGGCCCUCCAGUGACCUCAACAGCAACAACUCCAGCCAACUAAGUAACAUAGAAAAUGAAAAAGAAAAGUCAAUGUCUGAAAGCAUAAAAGAAAAAUUAUUGAAUAGAGUGGGAUAGGUGUGAUAAUGGCCCAAAAGGGAUAGCAAUUUUGAUAAUUCUGGUUAAGGACAAGACAAAGGGGGGAAAAUUUCCACAAAGGCCAUUUAGCAAAAUAAUAAACCAAAAUUUCAUAACUAUCCUUUAGUUAAAGUGGACAAAAUUUCAUAAAUCAAAAUAAUAAACCAAAACAAUUCUAAAAAAAUAUUUUCAAAACAACAUCUAAUAUGUUUUCUAAAACAUUUCCAUUUCUACUUUUAUCUAAAUUUAUAAAUAAAUAAAAAAGUUUCCCUAAUAAUGCAAUAAGAAUGAUUAUUUUUCAUAAUUUUUCUCUAAUUUCAAAUUUAUAAAUCAUGCUUUUUUAUUAUUAAGAUUGUGAAGAAAAAAUGUCUAAUUUUUUAUUUGGGUUGUUUAAAAGAAUUAGAAACACUAAUUCAUCAUUUUUUGUUUUUUACAAUUGAAUAAUUUUAAAAAAUUAUAUAAUGUUCAUAAUUUUUAGUUUUUUUCGUUUGCAUUGCAUGUUUAUCUUCUUUUUUUUUUUCUUUCAUAGCAUACAAUGAUGGAUGUUAAUACAUUGUAAUUUUAUAUUGGAUGUCGAUGAGGUAUAACUCCAAUACUAUUAUUUCUAUUAUAAAAAUAUAUUAUAAUUACAAUAUAAAUAUACUAAAAUUAUAAUACAUUACAACAAAACCUAAUUUAGAAAAUUUUAAACUUUUAUGUUCGCUAACAUAUUUAUAUUAUGAACCAUCUUUUAAAUCAAAUAAAGUAUUAAUUUGAAUUCAUGAAGCAUUUUUUUAAUUAUAAAAAUAAUUAAACAAUUUCAAUGCAUAAAAGUAAUGAUGUCAAUAGGGUAUAAAAAGGUAUUUCUAAAAUUAUUAAUUUUGUCAUAAAAAAAAAGGUGGGACAUAAAUUCAUUACACUUACAUUACAAAUGCACUACUAUAUUACAAUACAUUACAAUACAACCUAAUUAUUAAAAUCUUUAAUUUUUUUCACGUGCCAUACCAUUAGCCGAAUAUUUGUGUGUUAUAUUGAAUUGAGAUGCUCAUGAAAAAUAAAGCACACAUAAAAAUUAACUGUUUAUUCAAUUAGGGCAACAAAGCUUUUACGUAGCUAUAAGCAAUUGCUAAAGUUUGUUGUUACAUGCAUAAAGUAGCAUAUUAACCCUUGGGAUUGGUUUUUAUUUAAUAAAAAUCUCAAUUCUUUUUUUAAAUGAGAAAAGUAUAUUUCAAAUAAUCUAAUUUCUAAUAAUGAAAUUAAAAAAAUUAUAUAAAUUUGUAUUAGUUAUCCUUUGACUUUCCUAUUCUUUUCAACCCACAUAAGCUUAAGCAUGGUGAAUUGUAGGGUAAAGUUUAACUCUAAGGAAGAAAGGAGUAAUGGGAAAAAAAUUGACAAAAGGUAAAGUUAAUGUCUCAGAAGUUAGUUCCUCGAGGGAAUUUGAUAAAUAAGUGGCUGCCAUUAUCCCAUCUGACCGACCUAUUUGGUUGAAUCCUAAACAUUAAUAUGCAAAACAAAUUCUCACGUCCACUGACGUUUGAAGUGAACAAGCAAACCAAGAGGCCAUCAGAUUUACAGCAGCUUUUAAGAGCCAAGCAAAAAAUUAGCGUCCGUUUACAAAUAUAUCCAUAUAUAUAUAUAUUUUCUCUUUCAUUUUCCUAAACGUGUUUCUUGCAAACGAAAAGGAUCAAAACGAAAAUUAACAAAGGGAAAAGAGGAAGCUAGGAAAAAAAUUGCAAGUAUUUAUAAUACCUGAUAGAAGUCAGCGUACGAAAUGAUAGGGAAUUGUUCCUUGAUAGGUUCCAAGAGCCUAACGGCUAUAUCAAGACCGUUGUUGGCUCCGUGAGCUAGCUCUUCUGGCUUCUUCAUCGUUCCGAAAGGACCUCCGGUUCUCGUCUUCACAUCGAAGGUACCGGCAGAGUGCCAUCUGAAACCACAUGAUUACACGGUCAACAUCCUGGUAAAAUAAAUAGAUAAACGAACAAAUAACUGGGAAAAACAACUAUUGAGAUCUUAGAGAGAAAGGACGUACGCGAUUCGGAGCAUAAUCGGAGCACAGUUCUUCUCAGCGAUGAGGCCUCUGAGCUUCUUCUUGGCUUUUUCUACAGCCUUUUUGUAUUCCUCGCUCACAGUAGGAUAGCUCUUCCCCAUGGCUAUGA